CAGCUGACAGAAGUAUGGUUGUGAUCGUCGAAUUAUUGGCAUUUCAGAACUCUUACACAGUCAAACAAUUUGAUUAAAAAAUUGAUUUUGUAGAUUUAUAGUUUUUUUUGUAUUUUUUUAUUGUUUAACUGUUUCGUUUUCUUGACAGCUCCCUGUUCAAGCAGCAUUUAUAAAAAAAAGGUGGAGGAAAUUUGAACGACGUUUCACUAUCCGUUGCAACCGUUAGUCGACACAGAAGACAAAAUCCCGAAGAGAUUUCAAACCAGGCGAGAGAAAAAUUUGUGAAACCAUCUUUUGUUCUCAUUCAUUGGGAUUCGAAGUUAAUAAGGUAUCUAACUGGCAAAAAAGAUGAACGAGUAGCAAUUUGAAUCAGUGACAAACCAACUCUAGAACAUCCUAAGCUUCUUGGGAUUCCUGUCAUUAAAAAUUCCACUGGAACGUUCCAGCAUAAUGCCGUUAUAAAACUAUUGGAUGAGUGGGAAGUUACUGAUAACGUUGUCGGUAUGGUCUUUGACACAACUGCCAGCAAUACUGGCCGAAGCUAUCAACAUUUUUAUUAAUCGCUUAAUGUAAUUUAAAAUAAAUAAUUUUAGGAUUUAGAACUAUUUGACUAUAAUGUCUGUCCUGAACUGCAAGAAAUCGCUUAUGAGGUCGUCAAAUGGGGUGAAAACCACUUAGAAAAUGAUACAUUUCCCCGCAAAGACUAUAGAGUGCUUCUUGAGUUGACCGUUUUAUUCCUUGGUGGCACUGUUUACCCAUUUUAAUUCAGAAAACCAGGUAAAUACUAGCAGAAUGAUGAGAAACUUGGGUAAAUUAAAAAAAAAAUUCUUUUUAAAUUCGGUGCACACCACCAUGCAACGUUUAUGGCAUGCUCUAUUUACUUCUUAAAAAUGCAGCUCUUGUCUCAACGUUUUAAUAUGACCGACGAUGAAGACGAUAAGGUGAAAAGAAUGUCGACGUUCAUAGCAGUUUUUCACAGUCGAGCGUUCUUGAGAUCUAGACUUUCUUCAAUCGCUCCGUCAAUGGAUCUCAAGUAUUUAACAGAUAUGAACAUUUAUGCAAAAGAAGAUGCGGAAGCUGCUGUGGUUGCGAUCAAGUCAGUUUUAAACCAUCUAUGGUACCUUACCGAAGAGGCCGUGGUUUUUGCUAUAUUUGACAAGGAUCUUCCGGUGACAUUAAGACAAGAAAUGGUUAAGAAACUAUUUUCAAUGCUCCAACCACAGCGGUUCCUCCCGCAAAAACCAAUUUUCCCGCGAAUAGAUCCAUCAAAUGAAGUUGACCUCUCGGAACAGUUGCUAUCAUGUAUUGGCCCAAGAAGUUGGCUAUUAUUGGAUUUGCUUCAAGUUCGUGAUGAAAAACUUGAUUGGAUGCGUUCUCCAGUCAUUUAUUGGGAUAAAAUGAUUGGGUAUCAAAACGUUGAAAAACAGAUACUCUCAAUGGAAGUCGUCAACGAUUGUGCAGAAAGAGGUGUUAAGUUAGUGACUGACUUUAAGGACAUGUCAAAAGAUGAAAAAGAACAGCAAUAUUUAUUCCAGGUGAUCAAAGACUAUAGAAACCGUGUCCAAACCUUAAAAAAACAGUAUUGAACAAAUAACAGAUUUAUAGUAGGUGCUAACCUCAUGGCUAAAAGAACGAUGAA
rnacentral:lncRNA from 1 species